UGAGAGUUUACGGUAGUAGAGGCGCUCUACCAGCUGAUCUGUCAGUUUACGGUAGUAGAGGCGCUCUACCAGCUGAUCGGUCAUUUCACAGUUCCACCCGGCUACAGAGCAGUUACUUCUGUUGUUCUCACUGAAGACUUUUUGUUGUUGUUGUUGUUGUCAAACUCUAAUCAUGUCUUCGAUCAUCAGGAAGAUAAUUAACACCAGUAAAGCGCCAGCAGCUAUCGGGCCGUACAGCCAGGCGGUGGUGGUGGACAGGACCAUGUACGUGUCAGGCCAGCUGGGGAUGGACCCUGCCUCUGGUCAGCUGGUGGAAGGAGGAGUCCAGGCUCAGACCAAACAGGCUCUGGUGAACAUGGGGGAGAUCCUGAAAGAAGCAGGGUGUGGAUAUGACAGUGUCGUGAAAACUACGGUUCUUUUGGCUGACAUGAAUGACUUCGCCAGUGUAAAUGACGUCUAUAAAACAUGUUCUGACACUUCACAUAGUGUCCACAAGGUGUCGCUGUUUCCCAAGAGACUGAGUAUGGUAUGGAAGGGAGGCGCACUUCACAUAGUGGCCAUAAGGUGUCACUGUUUCCCAAGAGACUGAGUAUGGUAUGGAAGGAAGGCGCACUUCACAUAGUGGCCAUAAGGUGUCACUGUUUCCCAAGAGACUGAGUAUGUUUUCAGCAGUAGCUUCCCAGCGAGGGCUGCCUACCAGGUCGCUGCUCUGCCCAGGGGUGGGCUUGUAGAGAUUGAAGCUGUGGCUGUUCUAGGCCCUCUGACUGAGGUCUCUUGAUGUUACCCUACACGUCAGCGACAGAACAGGAAAAUCAACAACUCCCAUGUCCCAUUAAAUGACGUGCCGUCACAAUACCAGCAUAUAGUGAAUCAUUUUCAUUGGUUAAUACCGGUCCAAUAAAACAUCACUUCCUGUUUUUACUUGAUGGUUUAAAAAUACAGUAAAAAAAAAAUGAAUAUAAUGAAUGUAGCUCUUUUCCACAUGAUUAAAGCGCUGAGUGAGUU